CUUAAAUGGAUCUUCCAAUCAUUCUCUUAAAAAGUUAACCCCUCUCCUCCCUGAAGAAAAAAACCAAGUCCUCUGUUCGUGUUCCUCGUUUCACAUGGCUUCCCCAAACCCAAAAGAGAUCGUUGCAGAGAUUCCUACCUAUAUCAGAGUCUUCAGCGACGGCACCGUGGAAAGGCCAAGAGAAACACCCUUUGUGCCACCCUCAAUUGAUGACCCUCAAACCGGAGUCUCAUCCAAAGACAUCGUCAUCUCACAAAACCCCUUAGUCUCUGCUCGAAUUUACCUUCCAAAACUUACCACAAUAAAUCAAGUUCCCAUCUUGGUCUUCUUUCACGGUGGUGGCUUCUUCUUCGAAUCCGCUUUCUCCCAACUCUACCACCACCACUUCAACACCUUCGUUUCCCAAACAAAUUGCAUAGUAGUCUCCGUGGAGUACAGGCUCGCCCCGGAGCACCCUCUCCCCGCAUGUUACCUCGAUUGUUGGGAAGCUCUCAAAUGGGUCGCAUCCCAUUCCAGCGAAAAUAGCCCCAUCAACGCAGAACAGUGGUUAAUUAGCCACGGCAAUUUCCAAAGAGUUUUCAUUGGAGGUGACAGUGCAGGUGGCAACAUCGUUCACAACAUUGCCAUGCGUGCUGGAACUGAGCCUUUACCUUGUGGUGUUAAGUUACUAGGAGCUAUUUUCGCCCACCCUUACUUCUGCAGCUCAUACCCAAUUGGGUCAGAACCUGUUACAGGGCAUGAACAGAGUUUACCCUAUGUGGUUUGGGAUUUUGUUUACCCUUCUGUACCCGGUGGCAUUGAUAACCCUAUGGUCAACCCAGUGGCUCCUGGGGCGCCUAGUUUGGCUGAAUUGGGGUGUUCCAAGAUUAUUGUGUGUGUGGCUAGCGAGGAUAAACUAAGGGAUAGAGGGGUUUGGUACUAUGAAGCUGUGAAGAAGAGUGGGUGGAAAGGGGAUCUGGAGUUGUUUGAGGAGAAUGGUGAGGAUCAUGUUUAUCAUAUCUUCCAUCCGGAAUCUGAGAAUGCCACGAAGUUGAUCAAACGCUUGGGUUUGUUUCUGAAUGAGUAGAAUAAAUGUCUUUGCUUGAUUUCUCCUGUUGUGUUGUGUGAGAAUAUGAAUAACAACAACCAUGGAAUGGUAUUCAUGUCAUCAUCUGCAUUAUUAAAUUCCCACAGGCUCGCCCCAGAGAACCCUCUUCCCGCAGCAUAUGAAGAUAGCUGGGAAGCUCUCAAAUGGGUAACUUCCCAUUCCAACAACAACACCAUCACCAACGCUGAAUAGUGGUUGAUAAAGCACGGUGAUUUCAACAGGUUUUACAUCGGGGGUGACACUGCAGGCGCCAAUAUUGCACACAAUGCAGUUCUUCGCGCGGGUGUUGAGAGUGAGAGUGUGAGUUUACUUGGGGGUGUGGAAAUAACGGGUGCGGUUCUUGCUUUUCCGUUGUUCUGGAGUUCAGAACCGGUUUUAUCCGAACCGGUCGAGGGGUUUGAAGAGAGUUCAGCCAUGCAAGUUUGGAAAUUUGUGUACCCUGAUGCGCCAGGUGGCAUUGAUAACCCUUUGGCUUCUGGGGCGCCUAGCUUGGCCUCUCUUGGGUGCCACAAGGUGUUGAUUUUUGUGGCGGGGAAGGAUGAUCUUAGGGACAGAGGGAUUUGGUACUGUGAUGCUGUUAAGGAGAGUGGGUGGGAAGGGGGUGGAACUGCUUCUAGUGGAGGGAGAGGAACAUUGCUUUCAGAUCUACCAUCCUCAAACUGAGAAUUCUAAGGGUGUGAUCAGUCGCAUAGCUGCUUUCCUUGUUUGAACACCAACUUCCUUCCUUUUUAAUAAUGUUCGUGAGGAAUUUUGGUGGAAAAACAUUUGCUAGUGGGAAUAAAUGGGA